UAUUUCUUUCGGGGCAGGGUGAAAUUCCCAACCGGCAGUAAAUUGAGCCUGCGACCCACUAAUAUUGUUUUUGAUGUUAGUGGCUGAUCUAGUGUGAAUCUAGAGCCGACAGUUAGAGUCUGGAUGGGAGAAAGAAGUU
rnacentral:ncRNA from 17 species